CAGGCAGGCGGCUUUGUGUGUCCUCUGUGAAAGCCCUCGGCUCAACCGAGGAAUUGCAGGGGAAACUGCGGAGCUUGAGUCCGGGAGAGGGUAGUGGAAUUCCCAGUGUAGCGGUGAAAUGCGUAGAUAUUGGGAGGAACACCAGUGGCGAAGGCGGCUACCUGGACCGGUACUGACGCUGAUCUGCGAAAGCCAGGGGAGCGAACG
rnacentral:rRNA from 1 species